GUUGUUAGCUCAGUUACUUAGAGUGUGGUGCUGAUAACGCCAAAGUUGCAGGUUUGAUCCCCAUAAGGGACA
rnacentral:tRNA from 1 species